rnacentral:rRNA from 1 species
GACGAACGCUGGCGGCGUGCUUAACACAUGCAAGUCGAACGGAAAGGCCCUGCUCUUGUGGGGUGCUCGAGUGGCGAACGGGUGAGUAACACGUGAGUAACCUGUCCUUGACUUUGGGAUAACUUCAGGAGACUGGGGCUAAUACAGGAUAGGAGCUCCUGCUGCAUGGUGGGGGUUGGAAAGUUUCGGCGGUUGUGGAUGGACUCGCGGCUUAUCAGCUUGUUGGUGGGGUAGUGGCUUACCAAGGCUUCGACGGGUAGCCGGCCUGAGAGGGUGACCGGCCACAUGGGGACUAAGAUACGGCCCAGACGCCUACGGGAGGCAGCAGUGGAGAAUAUUGCGCAAUGGGCGGAAGCCUGAUACAGCAACGCCGCGUGCGGGAUGACGGCCUUCGAGUGAUAAACCGCUUUCGACGGAGACGAAGCGAGAGUGACGGUAAUGGAUAAAGAAGCACCGGCUAACUACGUG